UAUUCUAUAGUGUAUUAAAUCUAACACGUCAAGUUGCAAACUUGAAAAAACUUUUAAUUAGAAUUA
rnacentral:tRNA from 1 species